GCAGCACCCGUGGUGGAGCCUCCAUGCAAGCAGCUUACCACCACCACAAAACCCGCCAACCAUAGGGUAUUAACAUGCUUUUUAUUGUUAAAUUGUUCGAGGAAAUGAUAUUUGGGAGCUAGCAAUUUGGGGGUGAUUUUUUAUUUUAUUUUAUUUUAUUUUUUUUACCCUCCGGCGUUUAUUAUGGUGGAUGUAUCUUGCUGUUCCUCGAGGAGGAUUGUGGAAUGCCUUGGCCCAGCCAGGCUAAGGAAGAGAGACCGAAUUUCUCCUUUGCUGGUCCUAAGCUCUAAGGCUGGGUGGCCACAGGCUUUUGGAUUCUGCUCCCCAGGUGACUGCAAUAUAUACAGUGAAGUUUACGAGCCCCUGACUCCUGGACAGCAAGCAUGCAGAGCUGCUCAUUCUAUAGGUCGUUUUAAACAAGGUGCCUGACCUCCGGGAUUCUAAGACAGCUGACCUUUGUGGUCACCUCUCAACAGAUGGCCCAGCUGGAGGAACAAUUUCAUACACACUGCUUUGACCCACUCAGAAGGCUUUGGACACUUCGAAGAUGCCCAGCCACAAAUCAUGACCUAAAAGAGGAGCCGACAGCAUUCCACUCUGCCCGAGCAUGGUAUUCACAGAAAACAACAACAACAACACUAGAGAAAUCCUCCCUAACCUUCGUGUUCUGACAAAGACACAACAGCCAAGGACCACAUCUUCUUAGCUAAGACUUGGCUUCCUCAGCGAUUCUGGAAAGUUCCAUCUUCUCCAUCUUUUCCAGUUCCUGAUUACUCCAGUUCCUGAGAGACUUGGGACGACCCCACCCCCUGCUUUUUGCCUCUUGUAACAUGAAUCCAUCUUUUCUCUUCCAGAUGAUUGUCAUUAAUGAAAGAUGCUGAAUAAAUACCUCCUUUGCAAUCUCA